AAUUAAGAAUAUGUGGACAUUGAGUUUACUUGCUCUGUUUUUGGUGAGAUUUGGAUUUGAGUUUUGGCUUUUGGGUAUUGGAUGUGUUUUGGUUCUGAUUUGGUUAUGAAUUGGGUGCAUGGGUAGAACAGAAGGGCUUGCGUUUUGAACCGUUCGAUUCAAAACCAUAUGGAAAGAAUGCGGCAGAGUGCUCUGGUUAAUGAUGGGUGUACAGGUUUGCUGACUGCGGUGCAUAAGGACUACUCUACUAUAUAUAUGAUAUCAGAAGCAGGUGUCCAAUCCCAGCCUGAAGGAUAUGUCUGCUGGAGCAAAGGACAACUUCCAAAACCAGUUUUGGGCUGGAAACCAAGAUAGUGGCAGCAUCCAUUCCUUUUAUGAUGUCGCUGCUAAUCCAGAUUCGUAUGGCAAAGGCACCAGAUUUUUGAGACAAGUAGAACAAUGUAUAAUGUAGUUUUACUAUAUCUAAUGUAUCUAUAACGUAAUUUCGAUGUAAAUUCAACCAUAUCAAUAGUAUACCCGCAGCACCGCGCGGGCAUUUUGCCUAAUAGGAAUAUAAAUGUGACAUUUGAAAUACCAUGCAACCACUAAAUCAAAGUCAAAAUAUGUUGUUGGAGCUA